GGCGAGGUAGCUCAGCUGGAAGAGCGUUCGGUUGAAACCCGAAAGGCCCACGGAUCAAGACCGUGUCUCGCCA
rnacentral:tRNA from 1 species